GAAAUGCGAUAAGUAAUGUGAAUUGCAGAUUUCAGUGAAUCAUCGAAUCUUUGAACGCACAUUGCGCCCGUUAGUAUUCUGACGGGCAUGCCUGUUCGAGCGUCAUUUCAACCCUCAAGCCCUGCUUGGCGUUGGUGGCCUACGGCGCGCACAGCGCCCGUAGCCGCCCAAAUCCAUUGGCGGUCCCGCUGUGGUUCCCCUGCGUAGUAACUCACCUCGCACCGGUCCCCAGGCGGCGGCCUGCCGUAAAAACACUCUAUUCAGUACAAGGUUGACCUCGGAUCAGGUAGGAAUACCCGCUGAACUUAA
rnacentral:misc_RNA from 1 species